CCUGCGGCCCAGCCACAACUAGCCAAGGAAGCUCUCCAGCUUCCCUCUGGCAGAUUCGUCAUCGUAGUUCCAUCCAUAAAAUGCAAAAUGCGAAUGGAGGGGGACCAAGGGGAGAGACCAACCUUGGCAAGAAGCAAUGUUUGCCUGACCCUUCCCCUAGGGCCCCCCUGUCUAGAAAGGGGCUCCAGAGGAUUAGGCAGCCAUCUGCAAGGGGAGAGUCAGGCUGGGCCUGAAACCCCCACAGGAAGGGUUCCAGGCAGCCAUUUCUGGUCAGGAUGAGGAGGGGGAGGGAACCUUUGGGAUAAUAGGAGCCUGGGACAGAGCCCUUAGUUACCCAAUCAGAAUGGCAGGGACGAAGAGAAGGCCAGCUCCCAGGAGGAAGGGAAACCCCUUCAUGAAGUUCAGGGUGGCUGGGUAGAGCGAGUUGAAGAUGCUGGAGGCCAUCAGCAUGGCCAGGCCAUUCACACAGGCCACGGCAGAAAAGAGAGCACCUGCGAAGAAAGAAACACCACACUGUGGAGUCUGAAAGACGUAGGUUCGAGUCCUGACACCACCGACUCGCAGCUGUGUGAACGGGGGCAGGUCCCUGAGUCUCUCGGAGCCUCACCCUCCUCACCUGUAAAGCCUACACCACGUGUUGUGAAAAGGUUUCAAUGAGGUCAUGCAUGGGAAGCACCUGGCACACAGGGGCGAUGAAACAAAUGGCUGUUGUUAAAUCCACGCGUAAAAAGUGCAUGUGACUAUCCUCUAGCAAAAGCCUGAGAAAAAUGGUGUUUGGCUUAACCCCUUCAGAAUCAUAUUCCGCGUGAGGUUACUUGUGGGGUUAAUUCCCAGUUCCAACACUUAGUAGCUGUGUGUGGUGCAUGAGUGCUUAACCUUCUGGGGUUUUGCUCCCCUUUUGUUAAAUAAGGAUUCUACCUAUUUCAUAGAUGGGUGGCAACACUGAAUUCCCAUGUACAGCUGCUAUCACGGGGCCUGCCCCCUGGAGGGAGCCAGCUGGUAAGGGCUGUUGUCUUUUUCCUGUUCCCCUGGCACCUCCGGGCACAGUGAAGGUGCUGGACAAAAAGCUUACUGAGUGAAUGAAUGGAAGCACCUGGGCCCUGGGACAAGGGAACUGAUAGGGACUCCAGGGGCAGAUGGGGAAAGCGGAUGAGCCAGAUGUUUCUAUAUUGGGGUCUAAAGACCCAGAGGCCUGAGAAAAGCUAUUCUUUAGAGCACAUAGUUAUGCCAGCAGAACCCAAAUUUUGUGAAGGGGGCAAUAAUCCGACAGAAGCGGAGAUUAAAUGUCAGACCAUCAGAGUCGGAAGGGCCUGUCGAUGUCAUCAAGAACAAACCAGUCUUGCCCUGG